UUUCGGAGGGUCAGUGUGGACUGGUUGGACCGAAGGGCCCGUUUCCACACUGUAGGGAAUCUAAUCUAAUCAAGGUUGCUUGCUGUGUCUCCAGCACCAAAUUGAUGGGAAGUUCGGAUGGUGUCUUUGCAGGUGGUGCAGGGGAUGAUGUACCACGUGAGGAUGCAACUGGGCGAGACCACCUGCAGGAAAUCAGCAAGAGUGAACGUGGAACUUGAGAGGUGCAGCUUAAAGCCUGGUCUGCAGACUGACGAGAUGCAGGUCUGCACAUUCCAAAUCUGGGAUCGGCCGUGGAUUCCUAAAAAGCAGUUAUCAAGCAUGCAAUGCGUAGUUUGAACUUCACCUCGCAGCUGUACUCGCCAGACGAGGAGGAUGCUUCGCAAAACGCGUUAGUAAGAAAUCGCCAUCUCAGAACUGAGUCAAGAGUGUCGCUGUGAUACAUGUGAACGUCCUGGUGCAUCACCCCGCAUCUAGGCAAAACACCCUGUGACAGUGGACAGUUCUACCUCAUUCAUGAGAACCACUGCUGCAACUAACCUACACGUAGCGGCUAAUUUGACUGUUCCAGCUUUGUUUUGAGCUGUCUGAGCAGUGCUCAAGGUAAACCCUGACCUAACAGCGUGAACACUGCAUUUAACUUGUGCGAUCUGAGUCUCCUUUGGAGCUCAGUGCCUCUUCCACUUGCUGCUUGCUCAGUGGCUAACCAGCUGUAAGCAGACUACUAUCAUGUCUUUAUAUUCAUUUCCUGAAUAAAUUUACAUCAGUAUUAUCAAAUGCA